GUAUAGCUCAGUGGGGUAGAGCAUUCGACUGCACAUAGAAAGGUCCCCGCGCGCGCGCGGUGCAAGCCCGGGUGGCAAAUUCU